GUUUUUUGAUAUGUUUUUUCUUUAUUUCGGUAAUUUUUACUUUAAUUUUUUAUAAAUUUUUGAAUUUAUAAUCAAAAACAUGACAUAUGUAAAAAUUGUCCACUUUCGUACAGAAACAACUAUAACAUUUUUAUUUUACUUUAAUUGGCCUGGGGAUGCUUUGUUGAUACAGUACACUCAAUACCACAUUUACUGCAGUAAAGUAGGCUUGGCUAUGGUUUCCUGCAAAACAAUUGGCCACCAUCAAACAAUAAAAGUGUCACAUCUCCUUUUAUUGCCUGGAAUUAAAUUUACAUUAAGACUUUCUCAUAUUUUAUUAAAUUAUGUGUAAAAGUAAAGCAAUAAAUGAACAAAUAAAUAAAAAUAUUGAUUAUUUUUAACAGAAUUAAACAAAAGUUUUCUAUUAUCA
rnacentral:lncRNA from 1 species